rnacentral:rRNA from 1 species
CCUACGGGAGGCAGCAGUGAGGAAUAUUGGUCAAUGGACGAGAGUCUGAACCAGCCAAGUAGCGUGAAGGAUGACUGCCCUCUGGGUUGUAAACUUCUUUUAUAUGGGAGUACAAUGUUCCUCGUGUGCGACUUUGUAUGUACCAUAUGAAUAAGGAUCGGCUAACUCCGUGCCAGCAGCCGCGGUAAUACGGAGGAUCCGAGCGUUAUCCGGAUUUGUUGGGUUUAAAGGGAGCGUAGGUGGAUUGUUAAGUCAGUGGUGAAAGUUUGCGGCUCAACCGUAAAAUUGCAGUUGAAACUGGCAGUCUUGAGUACAGUAGAGGUGAGCGGAAUUCGUGGUGUAGCGGUGAAAUGCUUAGAUAUCACGAAGAACACCGAUUGCGAAGGCAGCUCACUGGACUGCAACUGACACUGAGGCUCGAAAGUGUGGGUAUCAAACAGGAUUAGAUACCCCUGUAGUC